AUGCAGUGCCCGAUGCCGAGGCGGUGCCCGAUGCCGAGGCGGUGCCCGAGGCGGUGCCUGAUGCGGUGGCCGAGGCGGUUCCCGAUGCAAUGUCCGAGGCCGAGGCAGUGUCCGAGGCCGAGGCAGUGCCCGAUGCCGAGGCGGUGCCCGAGGCCGAGGCGGUGCCCGAGGCGGUGCCCGAUGCCGAGGCGGUGGCCGAGGCGGUCCCCGAGGCGGUCCCCGAGGCAGUGCCCGAUGCCGAGGCGGUGCCCGAGGCCGAGGCGGUGCCCGAGGCGGUGCCCGAUGCCGAGGCGGUGGCCGAGGCGGUCCCCGAGGCGGUCCCCGAGGCAGUGCCCGAUGCCGAGGCGGUGCCCGAGGCUGUGCCCGAGGCCGAGGCGGUGCCCGAGGCGGUGCCCGAUGCCGAGGCGGUGUCCGAGGCGGAGGCCGAGGCGGUCCCCGAUGCAAUGCCCGAUGCCGAGGCGGUGCCCGAUGCCGAGGCGGUGCCCGAGGCCGAGGCGGUGCCCGAGGCGGUGCCCGAGGCCGAGGCGGGGGCCGAGGCGGGGGCCGAGGCGGUGCCCGAUGCAGUGCCCGAUGCCGAGGCGGUGCCCGAUGCCGAGGCGGUCCCCGCGGCGGUGCCUGAUGCGGUGGCCGAGGCGGUUCCCGAUGCAAUGUCCGAGGCCGAGGCAGUGUCCGAGGCCGAGGCAGUGGCCGAGGCCGAGGCAGUGCCCGAUGCCGAGGCAGUGCCCGUUCCCGAGGCGGUGCCCGAGGCCGUUCCGCAGGUCGAGGCGGUGCCCGAUGUUGUUCCAGAGACCGAGGUGGUGCCCGAGUUGCUUCCAGAGACCGAGGCGGUGCCCGAUGCGCAGGCCGAGAUCGUUCCCGAGGCGGUGGCCGAUGCGCAGGCCGAGGUCGUUCCUGAGGUGGUGCCCGAUGCAUAGGUCGUUCCCGAGGCGGUGCCCUUGUCCAAGGCCGUUCCCGAGGCCGUGCCCGAGGCCGUUCCCGAGGCGGUGUCCUUGUCUGAGGUCGUUCCUGAUGCCGUUCCCAAUGCCGUGA
rnacentral:lncRNA from 12 species